rnacentral:ncRNA from 1 species
CGCAGCAGUCUCCAAGGUGACAGCCUCUAGUCGAUGGACCAAUGUAGGUAAGGGAAGUCGGCAAAACGGAUCCGUAACCUUGGGAUAAGGAUUGGCUCUGAGGACUGAGCCGGUCGGGCUGGGGACCUGAAGCAGGAACGGCACUGCACCGGGACUGGGCGGGGCUCGCCGUUCACGCGGCGCGGCCAAGCCCGGACCAGCGUCGGGACCUUCCUGUGGAAAGCCUUAACUGCGCGGCGUCUGAGGGCUUCGUGCCCAAAGUGCUAUGCUUCGGCCGGCAAAAAACAGUCAACUCAGAACUGGCACGGACCGGGGGAAUCCGACUGUCUAAUUAAAACAAAGCAUUGCGAUGGCCGCUGGUCGGUGUUGACGCAAUGUGAUUUCUGCCCAGUGCUCUGAAUGUCAACGUGAAGAGAUUCAUCAAAGCGCGGGUAAACGGCGGGAGUAACUAUGACUCUCUUGUUCGGCUGUGCAUGCUAGGACUGGAGGUGUACCGGGGGUUGGGCCCGAUCAGUCCGGCACCUACCUUGUCCCGUCAGUCAUGCUCAGUCAUGGCUUCGGU